rnacentral:rRNA from 1 species
AAGCUUGCUUCUAUGACGUUAGCGGCGGACGGGUGAGUAACACGCUGGGCAACCUGCCUGUAAGACUGGGAUAACUUCGGGAAACCGAAGCUAAUACCGGAUAGGAUCUUCUCCUUCAUGGGAGAUGAUUGAAAGAUGGUUUCGGCUAUCACUUACAGAUGGGCCCGCGGUGCAUUAGCUAGUUGGUGAGGUAACGGCUCACCAAGGCAACGAUGCAUAGCCGACCUGAGAGGGUGAUCGGCCACACUGGGACUGAGACACGGCCCAGACUCCUACGGGAGGCAGCAGUAGGGAAUCUUCCGCAAUGGACGAAAGUCUGACGGAGCAACGCCGCGUGAGUGAUGAAGGCUUUCGGGUCGUAAAACUCUGUUGUUAGGGAAGAACAAGUACGAGAGUAACAGC